GGAGAUAUAGCUCAACGGCAGAGCAACCGGCCGAUUACCGGAUGAUGAGAGUUCGACUCUUUCUAUCUCUA
rnacentral:tRNA from 1 species